AUAUCUCUCUGUACGGGAAGGAUGAGAAGCUUCUACCAGGGUUCGAUUCGAGCGCAGCGAGAAAGCGUUGCCGCAGGCAACGACCCGAAGGGCGAAGC
rnacentral:sRNA from 2 species